rnacentral:lncRNA from 1 species
GUUUCCAGCGGCAAGUGGCAUCGUCGGCGAUGCCUAAGACUGUGGCUAUCUUCUUCCUCGACGGCGACGAAUGACGAAGGCGGUGGCGAGUGCGCACGCAAGGGAGGCGAACCUCCUUGGGCAACCCUAUUCAAAGGAGACCCUAGGUCUUUGGAGAGAGCUUCUUUCGGAUGCAAAUGGAGACGGAAAGGGGUCUUGGAGUUGAAUGCAAAUGAAGUGAAAAGGGCAGAACCCCUAACUUCUGCUAGGGCAAAAGAUCUUUGGGCCUGGCUGUUGAGCCCAUUUGUUUUUCUUGCNNCCACGCGCAACUACUAUUCACACNUACACUCCAUGUCUGCAAACCAAGAAAGGAUGAUUGGAAUGGAGCAUGUUAUCUCAGGCUGCACCCCCAUUUUCGGCCAUACACCCCUAUGUUACUGGGCCUGGAUAUUGAGCCUUUCUCUUCCCGCCACCACUGGCACUCCAAUUCGCACCCCCUGCAGACAAAGGAAAAAAAAGGGCUUUGGGCCUGGCUAUUGGGCGCGCCCUUUCCUCCUGUCACUACACACAACUCUGUUCGCACCCCCACUUCUUUCUGCAAACAAAGAGGCCUUAAGCCUGACCAGCGAAUAUUCAUUGGCACCCCCCAACUUUACAGUUGCACCCCUGUCUUUGGGCCUGAGCUAAGGAAUUUUCUAAUACACCCCUAAUUUGUUAUCUCUGCACCCCUAUUCUAUUGGGCUUUUCUUUUGUUUUUAUUUCUUGUUUGAUUUUUAGUUUUUACUAUAUGUAGCCCCUUUGCAUGACUAAUCCACCCCAUACCUUGUUUUUUUUAUUUUUUUUAUUGUUAGGUUUGUUUGUCUAAAUUAGAAA